rnacentral:lncRNA from 1 species
CGAACAGAGCGGAUUUCAUCCGAUGUAAAUGGAUUUGGAUUCGGGUAUGGAUAUUAAAAAACAAAUCUGACGGAUUCGGGUUCGGAUAUGGAUAUUUUUAAAAAACCCGAACCCGAAUAAAUUUAAUACAAUAUAAUAUAUAUAAAAAAAUUUAAACCACUAGAUCCGAAUCUAAAGGCCAAAAAAAUAAUCACACUUUUAUAAUUUAAACCAAAAUACAUAUAUCUUUAUAACCCAAACCCUAAUAUUCAAAAAUCAAAACCUUCCCAUUUCCCAAAAUUAAACCCUAAUAUUCAAAAAUCAAAACCUUCCCAUUUCCCAAACCUUCUCCAUCUCCAAACCUUAAUAGUUAAAACCUCAAAAAAUUAAGAUAACUAUUUUAAAGCCUUCCCAUUUCCCAAACCCUCUCUAUCUCCAAACCCUAAUAAUUGAAACCU